AGAAGGACCUUCCUGCUUUCCUCCCUAACCUGCAGGAGACUUGUAAGGCGUCCCCAUUCACAGCUUCUGUUGGAAUCUGCAGGCCUGCAACUUCCAUUACAGACUCCGGGACCCCGCCAACACGCAUAUUGACCCAAGGAAUCUUCGGGAUGGACUCUGCUUCUGAUCACAUCUUCACCUGCUCGAGGAUCACCUGUGGCACGUCGGGCUCUGAAUGCAAGCCCCAGGACACCCCAUUUCAUGCGUCUGCAUUCUUAACCUCACUGCGCAUUAACAUGCAUCUCAAUGCAUCCAAAAUACCGCACCCCCAUCACAUCAGAGAGCAUUAAAAAUAAGCCAGCUCAAUGCACAAAAAUGAGGGCGACAAUCGGAAACACAAUGAUGUUUCUAAAGAAUGUCCAACCUUAACUGCAGCUUUUCAGUUUCCAAAUUCUCUCUUCUUUAUCUCGUCAUUUCCCUGAAUCACUGGGGCCCAACAACACCAUUCUCAGUCAGAUGUCUGCCUGAGACACAUCAUUUCAAAUUCACCGGUAAAAUGUUUGCAGUUACCAGAAGUGACCUUGUUUUACACACCAACGUGAUGAAUUUAUGUGGGUGGCUUAGUGGAGCUGUUCAUUUCCAGCUUGGUAAUAUUUUAAUUAAUUAAAAGGGAAAAAUCAAUGAACAAAGA
ensembl:lncRNA LINC01377 long intergenic non-protein coding RNA 1377